rnacentral:snRNA from 2 species
GCCUGCGGGCACUUGAUCAAUUUGAAACCACAAAGACAAGAUUACCAUGGCCUCUGACCGAGGGAUGAUAGGCUCAAUCAAAGAGGAGCUACUAAUUUUG